rnacentral:rRNA from 1 species
UACGUAGGCAGCGAGCGUUGUUCGGAAUUACUGGGCGUAAAGCGUGUGUAGGUGGUGCUCUAAGUUUGGUGUGAAAUCUCCCGGCUCAACCGGGAGGGUGCAUCGAAAACUGGAGUGCUAGAGGAUGGGAGAGGCAAGCGGAAUUCCUGGUGUAGCGGUGAAAUGCGUAGAUAUCAGGAGGAACACCUGUGGUGUAGACAGCUUGCUGGACCAUUUCUGACACUGAGACACGAAAGCGUGGGUAGCAAACAGG